CUCUGCUCUUUAUGAUUUGAAUUAGGUCAACUUUCCUUUUUUUCUCUCUCUCUCUUCCUUUAAAGGGUCAAAACCCCUUUUAAAAGCCAAUUUGAACCGGGCAAGGGAAGGUUUAUAAAACAAUUGCAGUGACUUCUUCAGGCUGGUGGGUGCUACACAGCAUGUAAGAAAAUUAGAAAAAGUUCUGAGAGAGCUGGAAGAAAGCGGAGAGGAGUGUGGUUAAAAAAAAAUGAAUAAAUAAAUAAACCAAUAAACAAAAGAAGACAACUGUCAUCUGCCUAGGGCAGUUCUGCGUCCUCUGCCUCCUGGAUGUCGUUUCUAUGCACAGGACAGCGGAGCAGUGUCCCGCCUUUGGGGACAAGCUGUUCUUUUUCCACUUCUGGCUCUGACUUUACACAAGCGAUACCAAAAUGAAGAUGAGAAUAGGAAAAGUCAAGCGUGUAUUCAAUUUGGAACAACAAGGACAAACAUGGCUGGACACUUCUCCAGUGAUGAUCUCUGCCUGUGGCCUCCACUCCUGUUUGUUGGGAAAGACCAUCAGCUUUUCUCAUAUCAUUGCACACCCCAAAUCCUGGCUACUCUUCACAUCAACACACAAUUUGUCCGCACUGAUUUUGAUCACAUAUGAUAAUACCAGUAAUACAUUUUUACUCUGCGAGCUCCUUUGACCAUACACUUUAAAGAUCUAUACCUUAACUUCUAAUAACAAAGCCUUGUUAUUUUCAGUGAGGUUGUGUUUGUUAAAACAUUUAAACUAUCUCUUGUCACUGAAGUGGCUUUCCCGGAGAUAAAGACGCCAAGCCUAUCUUUUGCCUGUAAAGCUUCCACUUAAAAAUAAGUCUGGGGGUGCCUGGAUGGCUCAGUUAAGGGCCUAACUCUUGAUUUCAGCUCCUGUCAUGGUCUCAGGGU